UGGGGAAUAUUGGACAAUGGGGGCAACCCUGAUCCAGCAAUUCUGUGUGCACGAUGAAGGUUUUCGGAUUGUAAAGUGCUUUCAGCAGGGAAGAAGGAAGUGACGGUACCUGCAGAAGAAGCGACGGCUAAAUACGUGCCAGCAGCCGCGGUAAUACGUAUGUCGCAAGCGUUAUCCGGAAUUAUUGGGCAUAAAGGGCAUCUAGGUGGCCAGGCAAGUCUGGGGUGAAAACUUGCGGCUCAACCGCAAGCCUGCCCUGGAAACUGCCUGGCUAGAGUGCUGGAGAGGUGGACGGAACUGCACGAGUAGAGGUGAAAUUCGUAGAUAUGUGCAGGAAUGCCGAUGAUGAAGAUAGUUCACUGGACGGCAACUGACGCUGAAGUGCGAAAGCUGGGGGAGCGAACA
rnacentral:rRNA from 1 species